rnacentral:rRNA from 1 species
AUUGAACGCUGGCGGCAGGCCUAACACAUGCAAGUCGAACGAGUGGCGGACGGGUGAGUAAUGUCUGGGAAACUGUCUGAUGGAGGGGGAUAACUACUGGAACCGGUAGCUAAUACUGCAUACCAUCAGAUGUGCCCAGGGGGGUGUAGAUUGUUGGUGGGGUAACGGCUCACCAAGGCGACGAUCCCUAGCUGGUCUGAGAGGAUGACCGGCCACACUGGAACUGAGACACGGUCCAGACUCCUACGGGAGGCAGCAGUGGGGAAUAUUGCACAAUGGGCGCAAGCCUGAUGCAGCCAUGCCGCGUGUAUGAAGAAGGCCUUCGGGUUGUAAAGUACUGUCAGCGGGGAGGCGUUACCCGCAGAAGAAGCACCGGCUAACUCCGUGCCAGCAGCCGCGGUAAUUC